UACGUAGGGUGCAAGCGUUAAUCGGAAUUACUGGGCGUAAAGCGUGCGCAGGCGGUUUUGUAAGUCUGUCGUGAAAUCCCCGGGCUCAACCUGGGAAUUGCGAUGGAGACUGCAAGGCUAGAAUCUGGCAGAGGGGGGUAGAAUUCCACGUGUAGCAGUGAAAUGCGUAGAGAUGUGGAGGAACACCGAUGGCGAAGGCAGCCCCCUGGGUCAAGAUUGACGCUCAUGCACGAAAGCGUGGGGAGCAAACGAAGG
rnacentral:rRNA from 1 species